rnacentral:lncRNA from 1 species
GGCGGCAAAUCUGUAAUGCCUCUUCCCAUGAGUCUUGGCAAGAUUGGAAAUUAAAAAAGUUGGGAGUGAAGAAAGGCUCGGUUAUUGAGAUCCUUUGGAAUGUCAGAGCAAUCCUUUUGUUUCAAGACCCUGGCGUCUUGAACAUAUGUGGCUCGAGCAUGAAAUUUUUCCCUAUGUUGGAAGAGUUUUGGAGGCAUGAUGGUAUCGGCAGAGGG